rfam:Wolbachia endosymbiont of Glossina morsitans morsitans contig_0181, whole genome shotgun sequence.
UGUAAUCCCAGUGUCCCUAUGAUGUCAUCCCAGUGCCCAGACACUGGGAUCCAGGAAAGUUUGCUUGUAAGCAAGCAAACUAGCACAGAAAGUGAUUACAACAUUUUCGAUGAGAUUAUAUGGAAAACUGGAUCCCAGUGUCAAGCACUGGGAUGACAAAAAAAGGAGCACUGGAA